AACUACAUGCUUUGACAGAAUUCAGAGGACUGGAAGACAUUGUCUGCAAACUAAAACUUCUUGAUCUGAAAAAUGUUACUGUAGUCCUUCCUCUUCCAACAUUAGCAUCUGGACACCUGCGGGUCCUAUUCUGCAAGGCUGAGGCUGCGAAGCACCUUCGACCCUGUGCCAUGGUCUUUCCUCUUUGAAUGGAGUGCUGGAAGUAGGGGAUCCCUCAAAGUCAUGGGUGAUUGGUGUUGUCAUUUAAUUGCAUUUCGCAGUGCUCAGAAUGCUGGUUCCCACUGGACUCAACUUGCUGGGAUGUCUGCAAACUCAAAGGUUUCUUUCAAGGGAAUGGAAUUACUCCUCCAGUUCCUCAGCUGUCUCUGCUGCACAAUAUCUGAAUGUGACAUUUUACAAAAAAUCUGAUGUAACGGUGCAAUUCUUGGAUCUCACAAGGGUGUACUCUGUAGGGAAUCUCUAUUCUCACCAACUUCAUUUAGACCUCGUGAUGAUAAGAAGUUGUUUACAGCUACAGCCCGAAUGCUGUGGUGGUUGUAGUACAAUUCUCUCACAGCACAACUUGUUUAUUAUAAAAGAAAAAAGUUGCAGUCAUAUUUGCAGGAAAAAUUUAGGAACAGGAUUCAGAGACCUCUUACCCAAGUCUACAGGGCAUGCUAGAAGUGCUCUGAGAGGUGUGAGCUGAUCUGUGCAUCUCACUGGGGUGUUAGAAAUCUUGUAGUUUCAGUGUUAAUGGUUGUGUUUGUUUCAUCUGAAAGCUAAGAAAAGAAAGAGUGGACCACUUAUCUGCCCAGUCAGCUGUAGGUAAUGUCUUUAAGCGAUGACCAAGUUCCUCACUUUUGCCAGAAUGCCGUUUAUUCCUACUUCAUCCUCCAGUUGAGGAGUAGCUAGACUCUGAAAACCCAAGCGCAGGUUACAGGUGCCCUUGAAAUCCUGCCCAGAGCUAGUGUGAGUAUGGAAAGCCAUAAAGUACACACUGUGGUAGUGUGAGCUUUUUAAUGAUUUAAGAAGAGAGCUCUACUGGUAAAAACUCACUGCUUCAGUUUUUAAAAAAGCAACAGUAAUAAUAAUGAAAAAAAACCAAAAACAACCCAGCCAAAUAACCAACAGUAUAAUCCCUGGAAUACAUCCAAUUUUUAUCCUCGAAAAGUACCUCAAAGUAGUAUGACUUCCUCUCUUCAGUGUGGGAUUAUUUGUGCUGAUCUAAAACAUUUCAUGCUGGCACAACUGCAUCCCAUUGUCUAAUUUUUGUGGCUAAGCAGAGCCAGGUGAAGUAACUUAGUUUUAAAAGAAUUAGAAACCCUAAUUCCUUUAAAUCAAAUUCCAAAGACAUCCAGAUGUCCAGGAUACUGAGAAAAGAGGCACAAAAAUCUGAAAAGGGAAGGUGAGUGUUUGCUGCUCUUGGUUCAUGGCUUUGGAGGGUUAGGGGUGACGCAGUGUUGUGACAAAAAAAAUCAGUGAAAAGUAUUAGUGGAAGUUUCCACCAUCUUUAAUUGCAAGAAGCCAAUGCUGACUGAGUAUUAAUGUUUCAUGGGGAAGUAAAGGCUGAAGGGGAAAGGUGGGUGAAAUUUCUUCAAAACAUUGUAACUCCUUCUGUGUAUUUUGUGGUUGAAGGACAGAGAGAUAGGAGAUGCUGGAAAGAAUUCUUCAGCAGUAUUUUAUAGGUACUAUUUAAGCUAACUUUGUUAAGGAGAAGCUCCUUUACUAUUAGCAUGCUGUCAGAUUUUUCAAAUCUCUUAAAGGCAGCACCAGGAUUUUUUUUGCACAGAUUUCCUUUGACAUACAGCCUCAAUAAGUAUGGAAAUUACAACUUAAAUCUUUUUUUUUUUUUUCUUGUAAAGCACUGCAGUGCCAAAAUUCAUUGAAUUUCAACUUUUAUUUUUUUCUUAAUGUUGAAAGACAGAUAUGCAAAUUUUACUAACAAUAUGCAUGGUUAAAUUUAGCUGUAAAUUCCAGUCAGGGAUUUCUGCUUUGUUUAUUGUCCAAGUCAAUAUGUCUGUGGAGAAAACCUCCCGCUGUGCAGGAAUACGUAGUCAGCUACUUGGAAAAGUGGAAAGUUUAAUUAUGAGAGUUUAUUCUGGAAAAAGGUAAAGAAAAGCAAGCAUCGGUUUUGGGUUCGUUUUC